UUAGAUGAAUUUCAAUGUCAGUGGGCUCCAUCUCCAUGCGAAUCUUGAAGCUCACAUGCCACCCUGGGAGUGUAGACAGUGGGAAGGAGAGUUUCCAGCCCAUGUUUUACGGGGAGGAUGUGUCUAUGGGCUGCAAUUUUUUUUUCCAGAAAAUAUGCAACAGAGUGAUUAGACAGAACAACUGGGCAAACCCAUUUUGCUUACCUUAGGGGAGUUCCUUACCAGUGAAAUUCACUCCCGGGGUGCGGGGCCCCUGCGAGGGGGGGAGCAUCACGGGGUAGCUAUGAGUAGACUAGGCCUAGCACUCCUGUGUCAGAGCGGGUUGGCCUAAUUAAAGGGGGUCAAGCUAAACCAGGGGUUAGCAAGGGCUGUCAGAAGACAGGAGGCAGACUUAUAGGUACAGGCUGUGCCUGGGGAGUGGAGCCAUGGAGGAGUGGAGCUAAAGUCUGUAGGGGGGCCCUGUAGCAAGGGGCCAGGUACCCAAGACCUGCUCUUCCAGAAGCAUAACAGAGCCAGCAGAGAGCAGAACUGCUGACUAAGGGAUUCAGAUCGCAGAUCCCAGUUUGCAGGUGCAGGGAGCGAUUUUGCUGACUCGGCCUGGUUUCCAGACAACGAGAGUAUCCUCAUCUCAAUUCAGGACCAUGAAAGGCUGGGAAUUUCUCAGAGGUAAGACAGAGCCAAAGGAAAGAGGAACCUAAGUCAGAGAGGCUGGUUUGCAAACAUGCCAAGAACACACAGCUGAAGUCACUGGGAGCUGUGGGUGCUCAGAACCUCUGAAAAUCAUGCCCGAAGUAUCUUACCUUA